CAGAGGAUAGUUUAUAAAACAUUAACUUUGGGAGUUAAAGAUCAAGCUUUUCUUGUCUUCUGA
rnacentral:tRNA from 1 species